UUGGGAGGGGGAGACCCUCGGCCCAUCUCACUAAAUACAUAGGAAGAUUUUCCUUUUCAAUUUCUUCAUAAUUUUCAAGUGUGAAUCAAUGAAAAGGCGACAAAACGUCGGCUAUUCUAGUAAUCUUCUUCCCAAUUUGUGAGCUAUUGUCAAUGCAAAAUCAAGACAAUUGGAGAAGGGCGUUAUCGAGGUCGUAGAUGUGGUAUUUAUCGGUCUUGUUCUCGAAGGUCACGGCAAGGCUGUCCCACAGCGCUUUGGCAGUCAGAUGGUGCGCGAAGUUGGCGAUGAUAUCGUUCUCGAUGUUGUCAACGAUCCACGAGAACACCACCAAGUCGUUUUCCUCCCACACAUCGAACCCUUUGCUUCCUGGUUCCGGGGGCUCGUUCCUGAUGUAUGAGUAGGCUCCUCGGCCUCCAAUUUUUACUUUGAUCAAUCGAGACCAAAGGGGGUAGUUUCUUCCAUUCAACUUGAACGCAACCGUGAUGCUUUUGCUA